GACGAACGCUGGCGGCGUGCUUAACACAUGCAAGUCGAACGGUGAAGCGCCUUCCUUUUUGGUGGGUGUGGAUGAGUGGCGAACGGGUGAGUAACACGUGAGUAACCUGCCCCCUUCUUCUGGAUAACCGCAUGAAAGUGUGGCUAAUACGGGAUAUUCUGGGUCUGUCGCAUGAUGGGUCUGGGAAAGAUAUUGUUUCGGUGGGGGAUGGGCUCGCGGCCUAUCAGCUUGUUGGUGGGGUGAUGGCCUACCAAGGCGGUGACGGGUAGCCGGCCUGGGAGGGUGGACGGUCACACUGGGACUGAGACACGGCCCAGACUCCUACGGGAGGCAGCAGAGGGGAAUAUUGCACAAUGGGCGCAAGCCUGAUGCAGCGACGCCGCGUGAGGGAUGGAGGCCUUCGGGUUGUGAACCUCUUUCGCCAGUGAAGCAGGCCUGCCUCGUUUGUGGGUGGGUUGACGGUAGCUGGAUAAGAAGCGCCGGCUAACUACGUG
rnacentral:rRNA from 1 species